rnacentral:sRNA from 1 species
AUUCUGCCCAAGCGGGGAAGGAUGAGAAGCUUCGACCAAGGUUCGACUCGAGCGCCAGCGAGAGAGCGUUGCCGCAGGCAA